GCUCGGAGGGCAUCUUGGGGACACAUACCCUUCCUCCGUCUCAUUGAUAAUGUCGCAGAUCUCCAUGUUCAACGUCCAGUCUUCGCUUUGCAGGGAGCCAUCUGUUGCC